rnacentral:rRNA from 1 species
GUGAACGCUGGCGGUAGGCCUAACACCUGCAAGUCGAACGGCAGCACCGUAAGAGCUUGCUCUUACGGGUGGCGAGUGGCGGACGGGUGAGGAAUACAUCGGAAUCUACUUUUUCGUGGGGGAUAACGUAGGGAAACUUACGCUAAUACCGCAUACGACCUACGGGUGAAAGCAGGGGAUCUUCGGACCUUGCGCGAUUGAAUGAGCCGAUGUCGGAUUAGCUAGUUGGCGGGGUAAAGGCCCACCAAGGCGACGAUCCGUAGCUGGUCUGAGAGGAUGAUCAGCCACACUGGAACUGAGACACGGUCCAGACUCCUACGGGAGGCAGCAGUGGGGAAUAUUGGACAAUGGGCGCAAGCCUGAUCCAGCCAUACCGCGUGGGUGAAGAAGGCCUUCGGGUUGUAAAGCCCUUUUGUUGGGAAAGAAAAGCAGCAGGUUAAUACCCCGCUGUUCUGACGGUACCCAAAGAAUAAACACCGGCUAACUUCGU